rnacentral:lncRNA from 1 species
ACAAGAGCAGACAGGAGCCCGCGAGGUAGCUGCUCCUGCGGAAUUCCGGAUGUGGCUCCGGCACAGGCCCGGUCUUGCAGGGCCAGGCAGCCCCUCCCGGCGCUGACAACCCGUCCCCGGGCGGCCUCUGCAGGCUGCAGGUGGCCUGUCACAGGCGGAAGAUCGGGGCUCCCCCCAGGGCUGAGGAGAUGGAUAGCAUUCCUGGGACCCGCCCAGCCCUGCACGCCCAUCCCCAAGAACAGACAGGCAACCCAGGCACGGGUGCUGAACUCACAGAAGUGUCCACAAAGCCCAAGGCUGGCCCAGGCUGGUGACAGGGACCGCAGCGCCCCGUAUGCUGGCAGGUCGGUCGGCUGCCGAAGCAGAGGGGUCAGCGGAGCAGCUCUUCCCCUCACCCUGGAUCACAAGCCAUCACAGAACCACAGCUGGAUCUGAGAUGACUAGAAAUGCCUCCCAGCGAAUCACAGCCUCCUGCCCAUCCUGCUCCAUGUGCCCCUGCUACUGCCCAACUACCUUCCUGAGGCUUCUCCAGGACCCUCCAGCCCCCGUG